GGCACAAAGGGGACUUGCUCCUUUGACGUUAGCGGCGGACGGGUGAGUAACACGUAGGUAACCUACCUAUAAGACUGGGAUAACUUCGGGAAACCGGAGCUAAUACCGGAUAAUAUUUCGAACCGCAUGGUUCGAUAGUGAAAGAUGGCUUUGCUAUCACUUAUAGAUGGACCUGCGCCGUAUUAGCUAGUUGGUAAGGUAACGGCUUACCAAGGCAACGAUACGUAGCCGACCUGAGAGGGUGAUCGGCCACACUGGAACUGAGACACGGUCCAGACUCCUACGGGAGGCAGCAGUAGGGAAUCUUCCGCAAUGGGCGAAAGCCUGACGGAGCAACGCCGCGUGAGUGAUGAAGGUCUUCGGAUCGUAAAACUCUGUUAUUAGGGAAGAACAAACGUGUAAGUAACUGUGCACGUCUUGACGGUACCUAAUCAGAAAGCCACGGCUAACUACGUGCCAGCAGCCGCGGUAAUACGUAGGUGGCAAGCGUUAUCCGGAAUUAUUGGGCGUAAAGCGCGCGUAGGCGGUUUUUUAAGUCUGAUGUGAAAGCCCACGGCUCAACCGUGGAGGGUCAUUGGAAACUGGAAAACUUGAGUGCAGAAGAGGAAAGUGGAAUUCCAUGUGUAGCGGUGAAAUGCGCAGAGAUAUGGAGGAACACCAGUGGCGAAAGCGACUUUCUGGUCUGUAACUGACGCUGAUGUGCGAAAGCGUGGGGAUCAAACAGGAUUAGAUACCCUGGUAGUCCACGCCGUAAACGAUGAGUGCUAGUGUUAGGGGGGUUUCCGCCCCCUUUAGUUGCUGCAAGCUUAACGGCAUUAGGCACUUCCGCCUUGGGGAGUACGGACGGCAAGGCUGACACUCAAGGAUGACAGGGACUGCACAAGCGCGUGUCUGC
rnacentral:rRNA from 1 species